rnacentral:rRNA from 1 species
UACGUAGGGGGCAAGCGUUGUCCGGAAUUAUUGGGCGUAAAGAGCGUGUAGGCGGUCCGGUAAGUCAGCUGUGAAAGUCAAGGGCUCAACCCUUGAAAGCCGGUUGAUACUGUCGGGCUAGAGUCCGGAAGAGGCGAGUGGAAUUCCCGGUGUAGCGGUGAAAUGCGCAGAUAUCGGGAGGAACACCAAUGGCGAAGGCAGCUCGCUGGGACGGUACUGACGCUGAGACGCGAAGCGUGGGAGCAACAGGA